rnacentral:rRNA from 1 species
GAUUAGGGUUCGAUUCCGGAGAGGGAGCCUGAGAAACGGCUACCACAUCCAAGGAAGGCAGCAGGCGCGCAAAUUACCCAAUCCCGACACGGGGAGGUAGUGACAAUAAAUAACAAUACCGGGCCUUUGGUCUGGUAAUUGGAAUGAGUACAGUUUAAAUCUCUUAACGAGGAACAAUUGGAGGGCAAGUCUGGUGCCAGCAGCCGCGGUAAUUCCAGCUCCAAUAGCGUAUAUUAAAGUUGUUGCAGUUAAAAAGCUCGUAGUUGAAUUUCGGGGUUGGUAGGUUGGUCAUGCCUCUGGUAUGUACUGGUCUCACUGAUUCCUCCUUCCUUAUGAACCGUAAUGCCAUUAAUUUGGUGUUGCGGGGAAUUUGGACCGUUACUUUGAAAAAAUUAGAGUGUUUAAAGCAAGCUAACGCUUGAAUACAUUAGCAUGGAAUAAUGAAAUAGGACGUUCGAUCUUAUUUUGUUGGUUUCUAGGAUUGACGUAAUGAUUAAUAGGGAUAGUUGGGGGCAUUAGUAUUCAAUUGUCAGAGGUGAAAUUCUUGGAUUUAU